GACGAACGCUGGCGGCGUGCCUAAUACAUGCAAGUCGAACGCAGUGGGGACGGGUGAGUAACACGUGGGUAACCUCCCCUCAGAGGGGAUAACACUUGGACACAGGUGCUAAACCGAUACAGAUGGAUGGACCCGCGGUGCAUUAGCUAGUUGGUGAGGUAACGGCCCACCAAGGCCACGAUGCAUAGCCGACCGGAGAGGGUGAUCGGCCACACGUGGACUGAGACACCGCCCAGACUCCUGCGGGAGGCAGCAGUAGGGAAUCUUCGGCAAUGGACGAAAGGCUGACCCAGCCACGCCGCGUGAGUGAAGAAGGUUUUUGGAUCGUAAAACUCUUUUGUUAUAGAAGCGGUAUCUAACAAGAAAGCCACGGCUAACUACGUGCCAGCAGCCGCGGUAAUUC
rnacentral:rRNA from 1 species